GUUAUAUUGCAAUAUUAUUUAUAUAUAACUGCAGUCUUUUGAUGACAUCAACCGGGAUCAGUCGCACGACCCAGCAGAUGGUUUAGAGACUGGCUGGAAAAUUAUUAUUGUGUUACUUUGUGCAGCUCUACUUAUAAAAUUACUUAUAUCACUAAUCCAGACUAUAAUUCUUUUAUGAAGUGACAGAGUGCUUUCAGAAUGAUCUGUGCAUUUCGCUCCUGAAGAGAAAAAUAGUAAGUAAGUAAAUAAAUACACAUUUUUAAAAAAAGUCUUCAAUUUUUGGUGCAGAUGCAACCCUGAUUAAGUGUCUGGGGUGUGUUUAAAAAGGAAAAGAAGGGAACUGAUAUAAUAGAGGAAAACAGGAUACAAAUUAGUUUUUACACUGACUGAAAAUAUACAAAGUAGGUAACAAGUAAGGCAAGUUAAUAAUGUAAAGAAAGGAGUACGUAAUACAAGUACAGGAACAAGUUAAGAAAGUAAUGCAAGUAAAGUAAUAGGGAACAAGUAAAGUAACACAGGGAAAAAGUAAAGAAAGUAAUGCAAGUAAAGUAAUAGGGAACAAGUAAAGCAAGUUAAUAAUGUAAAGAAAGGAGUACGUAAUACAAGUACAGGAACAAGUUAAGAAAGUACUGCAAGUAAAGUAACACAGGGAACAAGUAAAGAAAGUAAUGCAAGUAACACAGGGAACAAGGAAUGCAAGUAAAGUAACAGGGAAUAAGUAAUGCAAGUAAAGUAACGGAACAAGUAAAGAAAGUAAUGCAAGUAAAGUAACAGGGAACAAGUAAAGUAACUAAUGCAAGUAACACAGGGAACAAGGAAUGCAAGUAAAGUAACAGAACAAGUAAAGAAAGUAAUGCAAGUAAAGUAACAAGGAACAAGUAAAGAAAGUAAUGCAAGUAAAGAAAGUAAUGCAAGUAAAGUAACACAGGGAACAAGUCAAGAAAGUACUGCAAGUAAAGUAACAGGGAACAAGUAAAGUAACACAGGGAACAAGUAAAGAAAGUAAUGCAAGUAAAGUAAAAUAAGGAACAAGUAAAGAAAGUAAAGCAAGUAAAGUAACACGGAAUAAGUAAAGUAACAUGGGGAACAAGUAACAUAGGGAACAAGUAAAGAAGCUUUUACUUUACGUGAAAAACUAACAAGUAAAGUAAGCGCUAGAAGGUACAAUUGGUAAUAAGUACGUACAGAAAGUAACGCAUGAAUUUAUGCAUGUAAUUC
ensembl:lncRNA